rnacentral:rRNA from 1 species
AACGAACGCUGGCGGCAUGCCUAACACAUGCAAGUCGAACGAGACCUUCGGGUCUAGUGGCGCACGGGUGCGUAACGCGUGGGAACCUGCCCUUAGGUUCGGAAUAACUCCCCGAAAGGGGUGCUAAUACCGGAUAAUGUCUUCGGACCAAAGAUUUAUCGCCUUUGGAUGUGCCCGCGUUGGAUUAGCUAUUUGUUAGGGUAAAAGCCUACCAAGGCGACGAUCCAUAGCUGGUCUGAGAGGAUGAUCAGCCACACUGCGACUGAGACACGGCCCAGACUCCUACGGGAGGCAGCAGUGGGGAAUAUUGGACAAUGGGCGAAAGCCUGAUCCAGCAAUGCCGCGUGAGUGAUGAAGGCCUUAGGGUUGUAAAGCUCUUUUAACCGGGAUGAUAAUGACAGUACCGGGAGAAUAAGCCCCGGCUAACUCCGUG